rnacentral:rRNA from 1 species
AUUGAACGCUGGCGGCAUGCCUUACACAUGCAAGUCGAACGGCAGCACGGGUGCUUGCACCUGGUGGCGAGUGGCGAACGGGUGAGUAAUAUAUCGGAACGUACCUUAUUGUGGGGGAUAACGCAGCGAAAGCUGUGCUAAUACCGCAUAAUCCCUAAGGGGGAAAGCGGGGGACCGUAAGGCCUCGCGCAAUUAGAGCGGCCGAUACCUGAUUAGCUAGUUGGUGAGGUAAAGGCUCACCAAGGCAACGAUCAGUAGCUGGUCUGAGAGGACGAUCAGCCACACUGGGACUGAGACACGGCCCAGACUCCUACGGGAGGCAGCAGUGGGGAAUUUUGGACAAUGGGGGCAACCCUGAUCCAGCAAUGCCGCGUGAGUGAAGAAGGCCUUCGGGUUGUAAAGCUCUUUUGUCAGGGAAGAAACAGCAGCUCUAACACAGUUUGCGAAUGACGGUACCUGAAGAAUAAGCACCGGCUAACUACGUGCCAGCAGCCGCCGCCG